UACGUAGGGGGCUAGCGUUGUCCGGAAUCACUGGGCGUAAAGGGCUCGUAGGCGGCCAACUAAGUCGGACGUGAAAUCCCUCAGCUUAACUGGGGAACUGCGUCCGAUACUGGAUGGCUUGAGUUUGGGAGAGGGAUGCGGAAUUCCAGGUGUAGCGGUGAAAUGCGUAGAUAUCUGGAGGAACACCGGUGGCGAAGGCGGCAUCCUGGACCAACACUGACGCUGAUGAGCGAAAGCCAGGGGAGCAAACGGG
rnacentral:rRNA from 1 species